CCUCCUUUGCUCAAUAAAUCCUUGGUGAAUCUGGCCAAAGCGACAGAUUUCACCAUGCUCAAAUUUUUCGACGACUUCUGGCCGAAGCGACAGAAGUGUCGGGAGAGCUUGUGAUACUCUCCCCUGAAUUUCGACGACUUCUGGCCGAAGCGACAGAAGUGCCGGGAGAGCUUGUGAUACUCCCCCCUGAGUUUCGACGACUUCUGGCCGACGCGACAGAAGUGCCGGGAGAGCUUGUGAUACUCCCCCCUGAGUUUUGACGACCUCUGGCCGAAGCGAC
rnacentral:lncRNA from 1 species